rnacentral:rRNA from 1 species
UACAGAGGGUGCGAGCGUUGUCCGGAAUCACUGGGCGUAAAGGGCGCGUAGGCGGUCCAGUAAGCGUGUGGUGAAAGCCCGGGGCUCAACCCCGGGUCGGCCGUGCGAACUGCGGGACUCGAGCACUGUAGAGGCAGGCGGAAUUCCGGGUGUAGAGGUGAAAUUCGUAGAUAUCGGGAGGAACACCUGUGGCGAAGGCGGCCAUCUGGACAACUACUGACACUGAGACGCGAAAGCGUGGGUAGCAAACAGG